rnacentral:rRNA from 1 species
UACGUAGGGAGCAAGCGUUGUCCGGAUUUACUGGGUGUAAAGGGUGCGUAGGCGGCUUUGCAAGUCAGAAGUGAAACCUAUGGGCUUAACCCAUAAACUGCUUUUGAAACUGCAGGGCUUGAGUGAAGUAGAGGUAGGCGGAAUUCCCGGUGUAGCGGUGAAAUGCGUAGAGAUCGGGAGGAACACCAGUGGCGAAGGCGGCCUACUGGGCUUUAACUGACGCUGAGGCACGAAAGCGUGGGUAGCAAACAGG